rnacentral:rRNA from 1 species
AUAGCGUAUAUUAAAGUUGUUGUGGUUAAAAAGCUCGUAGUUGAACCUUGGGCCUGGCUGGCCGGUCCGCCUCACCGCGUGCACUGGUCCGGCCGGGCCUUUCCCUCUGCGGAACCCCAUGCCCUUCACUGGGUGUGGUGGGGAAACAGGACUUUUACUUUGAAAAAAUUAGAGUGCUCAAGGCAGGCCUAUGCUCGAAUACAUUAGCAUGGAAUAAUAGAAUAGGACGUGUGGUUCUUUUUUGUUGGUUUCUAGGACCGCCGUAAUGAUUAAUAGGGACAGUCGGGGGCAUCAGUAUUCAAUUGUCAGAGGUGAAAUUCUUGGAUUUAUUGAAGACUAACUACUG